rnacentral:lncRNA from 1 species
UGUAAAAAAUGUUGAAAGUUCACUGCUCCCUGAAUUUGCCCAUUUUGGCAUGCAAUAAUAAUACCAAUGAAUGUGAGCUUACAAGGAACUUGCAGUAACUGGUAUGUAAGACAGGCUGCCAGAGGUCGUUGCAAGAUUCAACUUUUGAUUGGCAUGAAAAUUGAAAAGCUCACAAUCAUUUUGAACAGUAGUCAGCACAACUGAGUCAUGUCUAAUGGUACACACCUGACCCCCGAACUGAUUGCAGGGAAAAGCAAGAAUGCGAAGACCCUUUGACUCGGCGUACUUCUCAUGAAGUUCAACGAG